rnacentral:rRNA from 1 species
UAUGUAGGUCCCGAGCGUUGUCCGGAUUUAUUGGGCGUAAAGCGAGCGCAGGUGGUUUAUUAAGUCUGGUGUAAAAGGCAGUGGCUCAACCAUUGUAUGCAUUGGAAACUGGUAGACUUGAGUGCAGGAGAGGAGAGUGGAAUUCCAUGUGUAGCGGUGAAAUGCGUAGAUAUAUGGAGGAACACCGGUGGCGAAAGCGGUUCUCUGGCCUGUAACUGACACUGAGGCUCGAAAGCGUGGGGAGCAAACAGG